rnacentral:rRNA from 1 species
UACGUAGGGUGCAAGCGUUAAUCGGAAUUACUGGGCGUAAAGGGCUCGUAGGCGGCCAACUAAGUCGGAUGUGAAAUCCCCAGGCUCAACCUGGGAACUGCAUCCGAUACUGGAUGGCUUGAAUCCGGGAGAGGGAUGCAGAAUUCCAGGUGUAGCGGUGAAAUGCGUAGAUAUCUGGAGGAAUACCGGUGGCGAAGGCGGCAUCCUGGACCAUUACUGACGCUGAGGCGCGAAAGCGUGGGGAGCAAACAGG